rnacentral:rRNA from 1 species
UAACUACGUGCCAGCAGCCGCGGUAAUACGGAGGGGCAAGCGUAUUCGGAAUUAUUGGGCGUAAAGGGCUCGCAGGCGGUUUAUUAAGUCUGAUGUGAAAUCCCCCGGCUCAACCGGGGAGCGUCAUUGAAACUGGCAAACUAGAGUGCAGAAGAGGAGAGUAGAAUUCCAGGUGUAGCGGUGAAAUGCGUAGAGAUGUGGAGGAACACCGGUGGCGAAGGCGACUCUCUGGUCAAUAACUGACGCUGAGGAGCGAAAGCGUGGGGAGCCAACAGGAUUAGAUACCCUGGUAGUCCACGCCGUAAACGAUGAGUGCUAAGUGGUUGGGGGUUUGCGCCCUGUAUUGCUGCAGUUACGGCAUUAAUCGCUCCCCUGGGGGAUUCCGGCCCCAAGAUAAAAAUUAAAAGAAAUGGCGGGGGGCCCCCCCAAGCGGUGGACCAUGUGUUUUAUUUGGAAGCACGGGGAAGACCUUUCCCAGUUCUGACCUUCAUAGAACAACCCUGGGGAUAGGGGUUUCCUUUGGGAGAUAGAGUGCCAGGUGGUCCAUGGUGUUCUUCAGUUGGUGUCGGAAGAUGUGGGGUUAAGUCCCCCAAGGACCCCACCCCUUGCUUUUAGUUCCCACCAUUCAGUUGGGCACUCUAAGGUGACUGCCGGUGACAAACCGGAGGAAGGUGGGGAUGACGUCAAAUCAUCAUGCCCCUUAUGACUUGGGCUACACACGUGCUACAAUGGACC